rnacentral:rRNA from 1 species
UACGGGGGGGGCAAGCGUUGUUCGGAAUUACUGGGCGUAAAGGGCUCGUAGGCGGCCAACUAAGUCAGACGUGAAAUCCCUCGGCUUAACCGGGGAACUGCAUCUGAUACUGGAUGGCUUGAGUUCGGGAGAGGGAUGCGGAAUUCCAGGUGUAGCGGUGAAAUGCGUAGAUAUCAAGAGGAACACCUGAGGUGAAGACGGGUUGCUAGGCUGACACUGACGCUGAGGCGCGAAAGCCAGGGGAGCAAACGGG